GUAGAAUGUUAUCAGCUGACUAGUAUACAGUGUGAAUAUAAUACUUCGUAAGUAUUAUAUAUUAUAGUAUACAAUGUGAUACAAUUAUACUAGCUUAACACUAUUUAAAUAAUGUUUGUUAUACUAUUAUACAUGCCCGAGUGUCGUGGCGCAGUGGGGAAACGUUAGGCUUUGUAUGCAUACAUAGUAGGUUCGAUACUGGCUGGGGGGAAUUUAUUUGUGGUAUUUUCAGCUCUACACGACACGUGGCUUGUUCGAUUAUAUGAUGAGUAUAGUCGGAUUUAAGACACUAGUGUGACCUGUGAUAUCAUAUCUAGGUUCUCCUCACUGGUCCCUGGAGUCUACAAAUAACGUCUCAUCAUUGUGCUAUGAUACGAUGACGGCUAUAUAUCUUAGUAGUAGUAGUCCUGUUGUACAGAUGUCAACAAAAAAAAAAAAAAAAUAUAAAAAAA